GAAUGUCAUCCAUUCAUUUCUUAGGUAAAAGUUACAUGAUGAUGUAAAAAGAAAAUACACCGAUCAUUCACCAAACUUAAACUCAAAUUAAAAUUGUUUUUUACGUGAAUUCCCUUAUUUUCUAUGUACAUAUGUUUACUUCUUUUUAUUUUCUGAAUCUCAUCAUGAAAAUUCUGACUCUGCUGCUCGGACAACGGGACAACACCAAAUUUUCCUAUAUAAGGAGGCAUCAAGAAGUCACUCUACCCCAUCAUAACAAAAAAUAAAAUUCUCAAAGAGUGAAAGAGAGAAAUAAGAUUAACUACACAAAAUGAGCAACCCAAAUGGCAAAGGCAACGAUGAGAAUGGUAAAGAAAAUGAGAUGAUCACAAGUAGUGAAAUAAUAAAAUCAGUUGGUAUUGUUGCUGCUGCUGUUGGUUUUGCUGCAUGGGGCAUUUGUAAAAUUAUGGGGUCUUCAGUUGAUGAAAAUAACAAGAAGUUGAUGAAAAAACCAGGAGCAGAUGGAUACAUGAAUAGGGAAGACUUUGAAAAAAAUCCUAAAGACUAUUUCCGCGAUCUUCACGGAAAGAAAUGAAAUCAAUUGAUGGAUGAUCGAUCGUUUCAUUUUAUAUUUCUACUAUAUAUAUAUAUAUAUAUAUAUAUAUAAUAUGAUAUGAUAUGAUGUGUGCUUGUGUCGUAAAAUGUCUCUAUAUUGCUAUUACUAGUAAGAAAUAUGUGGGAUGUUCCAUUGUGUUGGAUCCAAGUUUUAAAGUUUGAUAUUUAACAUCUACUUAUAUCAAAUUGUUGAAAUUGAAUUUUAGAAAUAUAGUUUCAAAUAUCAAAUGCCCACACCCUUAAUGAAUUAUUUAUAAAAAUAUCUCAAUCAUGUAUUGGAGGCCUAAGGCAAAACUCUAAUAAGGGCCUUAUCUUAAGUUUAAACUCUAAUGAAAAUGCUAUUUUUUUUUCUUUUCUGGUUUUUGCUUGUGGUAAAAUGAGUGUUGAGAAAAAAAUUAAAAGGAUAAAUAUAAAGUAAAGAAUAAAUAUUGCAAUUAUAUUUUUAAUAUAUGAUAUCCGAAAGUCGCAAUUUUCAUUUAUUAUUAUUACAUAAUAGUUUUGUUUUAUCAAAAAUUUACUAGUUUAAAAUUUUAUAUUCGUCUCUGCCACACACACAUAUAAGGGUGGCAAAGGAACCUUAAUUUUUCGUUCCGAUCCGGUUACGCCGAUUUUGGUAACACAAUGGUACCGAUUGCAACCGCUAUAUCGGUACACAAUGGUUCGGAAUCCGUUACCGAUGCAAACUGUGACUUUUUUCCGGUAGUUCAGAUUUACUGGAUCCGGUAUGGCAUCAUAAUUAACGUCUGAUUUUUUUUUAAAAAAACUUAAAUAAAUAUAAUUAAACUUAUUAAAAAUAUUAUAUUAACUUAAACUUAAAAGAUAUAUAUUUUUUAAGUUUAAGAUAUAUUAAAAAAUAUUAUAUAAUUUAAACUUAAGAAAAAACGUGAAGUUCGUCUUUUCGGUAUAAAUCCAGUUGUCGGUUCAGUCCGAUACGAUUCCACACCAAUAACCAACGAAUCGGUGUGAAACAAUCAAAAAAUUCGGUAUUCCGGUUCCAGUAGUAUCGGCUCCGGUCGGUUGCCACUCUUACACACAUCCUUGCUUAAUACACUUCCUUCGUGAAUGCAAGUCUAAACGUAGCACUACUUGACCAGAUUGGGCCAUAACUCAUAAGGACAACAAAUUACAAUAAGACAACACACAUCCAUACAUCCACAUGGGUAGGAUUAGGAAGAAGCAAAAGUAAACAUAAUGUAACUUACUAAUGAAGAAUCAAUAAUGUGUAAAUAGCAACAAGAGUCAAGCUCAAUAUGUCAGGCAUGUAAAUGAAAUUGCCCCACCUUCUAAUUCUUUUGGUGGGACAGUUUUGAAGUGACGAUAAAAUUCUUUGUAUAUGAUCUUUAAUGUAACUUACUAAUGAAGAAUCAAUAAUGUGUAAAUAGCAACAAGAGUCAAGCUCAAUAUGUCAGGCAUGUAAAUGAAAUUGCCCCACCUUCUAAUUCUUUUGGUGGGACAGUUUUGAAGUGACGAUAAAGUUCUUUGUAUAUGAUCUUUUAAAUUAUUUCUUUUAAAUUGUCAUAAUUUUAUUUAAGAAUUAUACAUUGGCAAUCAACAUUUUAAAGUAUCGGGGGUUUAUUAUAUUGAUAUGGAAAAAAUUAUAAUUUAUUAGGGAUCUAUUUUAUCAAAUUAAUCUUACUAAUUAUGCUUUGAAAGUAUACAUUUGAGUAUAUAUAAUUUGUUUAGUCAUUUAAUGACAAAGAUAAUAUUAAAAAAAUAUAAUAAUAUUCUCCUGACUUAAUAAAAACAAAAAUUAAAUUGAAACAAAUACUUUUAGAAAAGGGAUCAACUACGUUUUAACGAAUGAUUUUUUUCUUUUUAAUUGAGGUGUGUUUCUAUGUGUGAUCGUUCAUACAUCCAACUAUUUUAUUUUUAUUUAUUUUUGAUGUUUCUUCUAUAAUUUUCUUCUUGCUUCUUCGUUUGAACUUCCAUAAGAAAUUAAACAUUUUCCUAAGAAAAAAAAUGGUACGCAUUACAUCAUGUCACAUCAGAGUAGUGGACUUCAGAGUCAACCCCCCCCCCCCUUCUCCCCACCUCAAAAAAAAGAAAAAAAAGACUUAAAAUGAGGAGACAAAAAUGAAUGAAAUUUAGGAAGUAAUGGCUAAAUGGAGUAUGAUUUGAAUGCAUUGAUGAGCAGUAAUUGAUUCUUCCACAGCUUAGUUGACUACUUAUAUUCCCCAAUUUUACAAUUAAUAUUUCCUCCGACUCAUUUUACUUGUUUUGAUUUAGCUUGACAUUUUAAUUAAAAAAUAAUUAAUAACAUAAUUAAUUUAUUAUAAUAUUCCUAUUAAAUGAUGUUUACAUUUUAAUUUAAAAAAAAAUAAUUAACGCAAAGGGUAAAUAUGAAUUUUUUUUUGUCUCUUCUUGAUUUAUGAAAAAUGACAAGUAAAGAAGGAAUUAAAUUAAAAAAUUUGAAACAAGUAAAAUGAAAUGGAGGGAGUAUAAUGACAAAAUAGUAAAUUGUUAUAAAAAAUAAAGACAAAAUCUCAAUAUCAAAUUUAAAGAAAUGAGAGAAUUUUAGAGAAUUUUUGUACUUUCUUCAUUUCAAAAUAAUUAAAUUGUUGAUGUAUGACACAUUUUUUAAGAAGAAAUAUUAGGAUAUAAAUUGUGGGUUACUUUUUACUAUUACUUUUUUAAUUGUUCUUAAACUACUCUAUUAGAAAAUGUGAAGUACUCCUCCGUUUUAUUUUACUUGUUAUAAAUUUUCUAAUUGUAUUUUUACUUUUACUUGUCUUUUUUGACAUAUUAAGAAAAGAUAAUUUAUUUUUUUCUUUUUUAUUGUUCUUAUUAAUUAUUUUUUCUCCAAAUUAAAAUAUAAAUACCAUUUAAUAGGAGUAAGUAGCCAUGUUAUUAUUAUUUUUUCUUAAUCAAUGUGUCAAGUCAAAUCGUGUCAAGUAAAAUGAAACGGAGGGAGUACUUAAGAACCUUAUUAAAUGAAAGGGUAAAAUUGAAAGAAAUUUCCAAUAUGUCUCUUGAAGAAUGGACAAUUCAUUUAUUUUAGACAUUAACAAAUAGCUCAACAAUUCAAUUAUUUUGAAAUAAAGGAAGCAAUACUUUUGCUUUUACUACUUAGAUAUAGUAUCAAUAAAAAUGUACAAAAGAGUGACUAUUUAUAGACUACCAAACUUACUCCAUAAUGUUGUCAAACUUGAUAUCAAGUUGACAACUUGGUCAACUUUCUUAGGUAUUCAAAUAUAUUCAAAUUGAACAAGUAACUUCAAGUUUGGCAGUUUGGCCAACUGCCUUAGGCAUUCAAAUCCAAAUUGAACAAGUAACUCUUGGGGUUCACAUUCAAUUUGACUACUACUAUCAUUUCUAAUUGAUGACAUUCCACACAUACAUAUGUCACAUGACAUCUAUAUUAUAUAACACUCCCCCUUGGAUGUCCAUUAAUAGAUAGUGUGUUUCAUUAAAUUCUUACUAGAAAAAAUCCAAUGGAAAGAAACCUAGUAAAGGAAAAAGAGUACACACAUCUUGUAAUACGCCUUUAGUGUUGUCUCAUUAAAAACCUUACCAGAAAAAUUUGAUUGGAACAAAACCUUGGUUAAAGAAAAAAGAGUACAACGCGUAUUUUACUUCCCCUGAUGAAAACUUUAAUUUAAUGACUUGAAUCUCUGCAUCUGAAUCUUGUGCACCAUGUUCUCGAAAGUUGCAGUUGGUAGAGACUUGGUGAAUAAAUCGACAAUAUUGUCACUUGAACGAAUCUUUCGCAAGAUGAAUAAAUCAGCAAUAUUGUCACUUAAAUGAAUCUAUCACAUGUUAAUAUUAUCAUUCUUUUGGAGCUCAUGUGAGUAGAAAAGUUUUGGCAAAAUAUGUUUUACUCUCUCCUUUUAUGAAUUCUCCUUUUAAUUGCACUAUGCAUGCUUCAUUAUCUUCAUAUAAAAUCAUAGGCACUUUAUCACAUUCCAGACAUAUUUUUCUCGAUUGAGAUGUAUCAUGGAUUUUAACCACACAUAUUUUUGGCUUGCUUCAUGAAUACCAAUUAUCUUAGCAUGAUUUGAAAAAGAGACAAUUGUUGUAUAUUUCAGCGAACGCCAUGAUUUAGUUGUAUCUUCAUAUAUAAGUAAAUAGCCCAUCUGAGAUUGAAUUUCAUGUGAAUCACAUAAAUACCUUUUCAAUGUAUGUUCAUCGAUGAAAAAAUAUUUCAUUUGUCAAAUACUCUGAGUAUACAUCCAAUAAUACGCAUUGUUAGUUGCCUCAUUAAAAACCUUGUCAUGAAAACCUUGUAGGACAAAAUCUCAACAAAGAAAAAAAGAAUAAAGCGCGUAUUAUACUCGCAUCGAGUAAAACAUCAUUUUAUUCUUGUAAAUAAUGCUCCAUAAUUCAUAAGUACACCAACUGCACUAAAACAUGGUAGGUACUAAUCAUUUUCAUGAAGUUAAAAUUGAUUUAUUUUUAAGUUAAGUGAUCUAUAUAAUUGUAAUGCCUCGAGAGUACACCUUGGGCGUCACAUGGUGCCUACAACCCCAAAGGAUCACAAGCUAACCCAUGUUGGAACCUUCCGUGAGCACUAUAUAAAAUAACAA
rnacentral:lncRNA from 1 species